UUUAUAAGAACCUAACGCCAUUAGGUCUCUGCCAAAAAACUGAUGUCUGCCUCUUCUCCUCCCCCACGCCUUCUCCUCCUUUUCCGCCGCAAUUGAUUCCUCGUAUCCCACCUCCUCCUUUUUCGCCAAAACCAAAAGCUUUUGUUGCGCUCCCAAUCCAAUCCCUCCUUUCUCAAGAAAAUGAAAGCUCUGCACCGUUCAAAAAAAAACCUCAUCCAUGUUUACUUGAAUCAAAACCCAGAAAUCUCAUGCUACAGGAAUUAAAAGAAUGUCUAUCAAGAUCUGAUGAAACUCCAGGCAAUGCCCUAUGUCCUUUGGGUAUAAUGCCCAUGGAUUAAAAGAGAACUUCUAUGGGAUUUUUUUUCAUUUGAUUAAGCUUUUCUCUCUACUGUUUUUUUUUGUUGGGGGGGGGGGGGGGGGGGGGGAGGUCUCAGAUUGCAAGAAUGAAAGACAACUUGAAUUGGAUUUUGGGUUGCUUCAAAUUACUACUUUCAGCUAUAGCUACCGUUCAAUUUGGGUUAGAUGUAUAGAAUUGGAUUUGUUGUAUCAAAUGCUACAAUUUUGUAGUGACAUACAAAGUGUUAAUAGGCUUUUGCUAUUGUAAGUACAAGUGAGCAUGUGGUUGUAAAUUGUAAUGAAACAAAAUGGUAUCUUAUACAACUCAAUGUAUGGCUGACAUGAUUUCUUA